UACGAAGGGGGCAAGCGUUGUUCGGAAUUACUGGGCGUAAAGGGAGUGUAGGCGGUUAUGUAAGAUAGUGGUGAAAUCCCAGGGCUUAACUUUGGAAUUGCCAUUAUGACUAUGUGGCUAGAAUUACAGAGAGGAUAGUGGAAUACCCAGUGUAGAGGUGAAAUUCGUAGAUAUUGGGUAGAACACCAGUGGCGAAGGCGACUAUCUGGCUGUAUAUUGACGCUGAGGCUCGAAAGCAUGGGGAUCAAACAGG
rnacentral:rRNA from 1 species